AACACAGACUGUCUGUUAAAAAUAGCAAAACUCUGCACAAUGUUCUCAAUGACAAAGGUAACGUGGAGCUUGAUGCUAAUUUAAUAUACAACGAGAUCUAUUAUCAGUGUUGCACUGUAAAAAACUCUGAUAAAUCCAAAUUGUGUCCAGCCACCUUGAAUCUUCACUUAUCCCCCAAUAAGCAUCAUUUAGAAGUUGAUUGCUGUAAUGUGGAUCAUGAUCACAGACCGUUACCAAUGCUUUAAAGCCUUUGUAUUCAGAUACUCGAAACAUUAUAAACCAAUUCGAAAAAGGCACUUAUUCGACUUGUGAAGCCAAAAGAACGACCGUGGAAUCAAAUAAUGAAAUAAAAAAUUUCUGGGAAAAUGUAAAUUACGGAAUGACAUC